rnacentral:rRNA from 1 species
CCUACGGGUGACAGCAGUGAGGAAUUUUGCGCAAUGGACGCAAGUCUGACCCAGCAACGCCGCGUGAAGGAUGAAGGCCUUCGGGUUGUAAACUUCUUUUAUGGGGGAAGAGCAGAAGACGGUACCCCUUGAAUAAGCUACGGCUAACUACGUGCCAGCAUCCGCGGUAAUACGUAGGUGGCAAGCGUUGUCCGGGUUUACUGGGUGUAAAGGGCGUGCAGUCGGAGGGACAAGUCAGAUGUGAAAUCCACAGGCUCAACCUGUAGACUGCAUUUGAAACUGGUUCCCUUGAGUGUCGGAGAGGUCAUCGGAAUUCCUAGUGAAGCGGUGAAAUGCGUAGAUAUUAGGAAGAACACCAGUGGCGAAGGCAGAUGACUGGACGACAACUGACGGUGAGGCGCGAAAGCGUGGGGAGCAAACAGGAUUAGAUACCCGAGUAGUC